UACGUAGGGGGGCAAGCGUUGUCCGGAAUCAUUGGGCGUAAAGCGCGUGUAGGCGGCUUGGUAAGUCCGCUCUGAAAGCCCGGGGCUCAACCCCCGGGAGGCGGGUGGAUACUGUCAAGCUCGAGUCCGGAAGAGGCGAGUGGAAUUCCUGGUGUAGCGGUGAAAUGCGCAGAUAUCAGGAGGAACACCAGCGGCGAAGGCGCUGCUCUGGGCCGGUACUGACGCUGAGGAGCGAAAGCGUGGGGAGCGAACAGG
rnacentral:rRNA from 1 species